rnacentral:lncRNA from 1 species
AGCAACUCUCCAAAAGAUACAUACCAGGCAAGAUCUGCAUUGUUAUCCCUGCUGAAACAGAUGAGGAGGCUUAAGGACUGAGAACACAGGUGACUAAGUAACAAGGAAUAAGAGCUAAAUUGUAACAAGCCCUAAUGCUUUGGGCUUCCUUUAUCUUUGGACACCUUGGAUCAAGCUCAUCAUCUUCCCUCCCACAAGUUAUCACAACUUUUCUCCUUUGAGGUCUCUUGGAAACAGAGAGCAGCCCACUCACAUUCACAGAGCACUGAUUUCCUACAAGUCAGUGCCUGAACUGCAUACCAAACCACAAUCAAUAGGAAAAGAUCUCUCCCUCUUGGACUAAGCCAGUAUUUAAGAGCCUGGCUAAGCAUCCUAUUCCUGCUAAUACAGGAGGAUUCAGCAUCUGCUGUUACAUUAAUUGAAAGGCAGUGUUCCAGUUGAGACUCGGAAAAGGUUUUUCCCUCAUCAAAGGCAAAGAAUGUGGACCAGAUGGCUUUAAAUGAAUAGACUUCAUCAAUAGCUGUAUCACCAAUAUUAUUAUCAACAACGAUAAUAAUAACAGUAAGUAAUUCUACUGCAUAAAAUAAAGGGGCACAAAAAUAAAUAGUCA